UACGGGGGGGGGCAAGCGUUGUUCGGAAUUACUGGGCGUAAAGGGUUCGUAGGUGGCCAACUAAGUCAGACGUGAAAUCCCUCAGCUCAACUGGGGAACUGCGUCUGAUACUGGUUGGCUUGAGUGCAGGAGAGGAACGCGGAAUUCCAGGUGUAGCGGUGAAAUGCGUAGAUAUCUGGAGGAAUACCGGUGGCGAAGGCGGCAUCCUGGACCGGCAUUGACGCUGAGGAGCGAAAGCUAGGGGAGCAAACGGG
rnacentral:rRNA from 1 species